rnacentral:rRNA from 1 species
CUACGGAGGGUGCGAGCGUUAAUCGGAAUUACUGGGCGUAAAGCGCGCGUAGGCGGCUUGUUAAGUCGGAUGUGAAAGCCCCGGGCUCAACCUGGGAAUUGCAUUCGAUACUGGCAGGCUAGAGUAUGGUAGAGGGAAGCGGAAUUCCGGGUGUAGCGGUGAAAUGCGUAGAUAUCCGGAGGAACACCAGUGGCGAAGGCGGCUUUCUGGCCUAAUACUGACACUGAGACGCGAAAGCGUGGGUAGCAAACAGGAUUAGAAACCCCAGUAGUCC